CUGGCGGCGUGCUUAACACAUGCAAGUCGAACGGAAAGGUCUCUUCGGAGAUACUCGAGUGGCGAACGGGUGAGUAACACGUGGGCAAUCUGCCCUGCACUUCGGGAUAAGCCUGGGAAACUGGGUCUAAUACCGGAUAGGACCACUUGGCGCAUGCCUUGUGGUGGAAAGCUUUUGCGGUGUGGGAUGGGCCCGCGGCCUAUCAGCUAGUUGGUGGGGUGAUGGCCUACCAAGGCGACGACGGGUAGCCGGCCUGAGAGGGUGUCCGGCCACACUGGGACUGAGAUACGGCCCAGACUCCUACGGGAGGCAGCAGUGGGGAAUAUUGCACAAUGGGCGCAAGCCUGAUGCAGCGACGCCGCGUGGGGGAUGACGGCCUUCGGGUUGUAAACCUCUUUCAGCAGGGACGAAGCGCAAGUGACGGUACCUGCAGAAGAAGCACCGGCCAACUACGUGCCAGCAGCCGCGGUAAUACGUAGGGUGCGAGCGUUGUCCGGAAUUACUGGGCGUAAAGAGCUCGUAGGUGGUUUGUCGCGUUGUUCGUGAAAACCGGGGGCUUAACCCUCGGCGUGCGGGCGAUACGGGCAGACUAGAGUACUGCAGGGGAGACUGGAAUUCCUGGUGUAGCGGUGGAAUGCGCAGAUAUCAGGAGGAACACCGGUGGCGAAGGCGGGUCUCUGGGCAGUAACUGACGCUGAGGAGCGAAAGCGUGGGGAGCGA
rnacentral:rRNA from 1 species